rnacentral:rRNA from 1 species
UACGUAGGUGGCAAGCGUUUGUCCGGAUUUACUGGGCGUAAAGAGCGCGCAGGCGGUCGUUCAAGUCGCGUGUGAAAGCCCCCGGCUCAACUGGGGAGGGUCACGCGAUACUGAUCGACUCGAAGGCAGGAGAGGGUAGUGGAAUUCCCGGUGUAGUGGUGAAAUGCGUAGAUAUCGGGAGGAACACCAGUGGCGAAGGCGACUACCUGGCCUGUUCUUGACGCUGAGGCGCGAAAGCUAGGGGAGCAAACCGG